AUGCAUGUCUAAGUACAAGCCUCACUAAGGUGAAACCGCGAAUGGCUCAUUAAAUCACACCUAAUGUACUGGACAGUCUCAGUUACUUGGAUAACUGCGGUAAUUCUGGAGCUAAUACAUGCGUACUAGCCGCGACUCACGGAGCGGUGCUUUUAUUAGAUCAAAACCAAACGGCCUCGAGCCGUCCCCCUGGUGAUUCUGAAUAACUUUGGGCUGAUCGCACGGACUCGUUCCGGCGACGUGUCCUUCCAAGGUGUGCCCUAUCAACUGUCGACUGUGGCAUAGACGCCCACAGUGGUUUUGACGGGUAACGGGGAAUUAGGGUUCGAUUCCGGAGAGGGAGCCUGAGAAACGGCUACCACUUCUACGGAAGGCAGCAGGCACGCAAAUUACCCACUGGCCGAAGGCCGAGGUAGUGACGAAAAAUAACGAUACCGGACUCAUCCGAGGCCCGGUAAUCGGAAUGAGUACACUUUAAAUCCUUUAACGAGGAACAAUUGGAGGGCAAGUCUGGUGCCAGCAGCCGCGGUAAUUCCAGCUCCAAUAGCGUAUAUUAAAGUUGUUGCGGUUAAAAAGCUCGUAGUUGGAUCUCGGCGGGCAGGGGGUGGUUCGCUCUUCAGCGCUACUGCCCCGCUUUGCCCGUGUGAUUGGCGGAGGUUUCGGGGUGCUCUUCGUUGAGUGACUCGGAGCGCCGUCAGGUUUACUUUGAAAAAAUUAGAGUGCUCAAAGCAGGCUUUUCACGCUUGAAUAUUCGUGCAUGG
rnacentral:rRNA from 1 species